rnacentral:tRNA from 2 species
GGCCCCUUAGCUCAGUGGUUAGAGCAGGCGACUCAUAAUCGUCCGGUCGCUGGUUCAAGUCCAGCAAGGGCCACCA